ensembl:lncRNA
ACAGUUCCAAGAAAUCCCGGGGCCAGACAGAGUCUCAUCUGAAGGACGCAGGAGCCCAGCAGAGGCGCAUCAGUGCAGUCCGGGCAGCCUGCUGUCACACCCGUCUUGGGGCCUGCGCCACCGUUAACUAAUCCUGAUGGCUGGCUGGCGAGACCCGAGGCUCCGACUGCUCAGCUCUGCACCCGAGCUCCUGCAGGUCCCCUGGUCCCCGGACGCCUCCACGCAAGUGACCCCAGUCACGUCCUUCCUCGAGAACCCCAAGUGGGAGGCUCCCAACAUGGCGAGCCCACCCUGCUCACCAGCCACACGAGGCCGCCCGGCAUGGCAGUCAUUCAGGGACGCCCGUGCGGUUUCCUGGCCAGAUCUGCUGUCCCUGGACAGGGCUGGGGGAGCCGUCCCCACGUCCUCCCAAAGUGAGUCCUCCCUGCUCCCUCACCUUCCUUGCCCAGCACCCGCCAAAUACCCUGCUCUCUGGAGUAACUGGGGGUGGGUAUGGGGGGAGUUCAACGUGGGGACGGUGCUGAAACCGCAGCAGGGUCCUGGGUGAGGAACCCUGAGGUCCAAGAUGCUCUGUGAUCAGUAACUGGAAGGGUUGGAUCCAUUUUCUAGGAGGGGGUCAUGGACGGGGGAGGCUGGCAUGCACUUUAUCUGCUUUAUUUAUGCGUCUGUUGUGGGUAACAGACUUGCCUGAGGUUCACGUAGGGCCACAUUUUACAUAAUUCCCAAUGCCUGAAUUGGCCAUCUCCUCUCACACGUGAGAGACCAGCUGAGAAGGCUUGGUCACCAGAAAGCUGGGCUGGAUGCGGGCACGGGCUGGGGGUCCUUCCCGCCUGGCUCAGGCCUAGCCCUGGGGGCGGCCUGGGUCUGCCUGCUGGUGAGGAGGUGGGGGGGUGGGCGCCACCCUGACGUGUGCUGGGGAUGGAGGGGGACGCGAGGAGCUCCCUGCCCUUACCUCCUCUGGAAGGACAGAGGCCCCCUACCCGGGGAGGGGAGGGGAUGGCCUGCUCCACCCCUGCUGGGCAUGAAGCCCUGCCUGUGAGCGGAUGCCCCCUGGCCUCCCCGCCCCCCCCCUACCGCAGCCUCUUUGCUUGAUGCUCUCAGGACCUCUGGCCUCGCUGUCCAUGCCAGGCCAAGGUGGCAGAGGGUAUCCCUGUCCUUAAACAGCCCCUGGUGCCUGUGCUGCUGGGACAGUCACUCUGAGCCACGAGGCUCCUGCAUGUGUUUUUCUCCAGUUCUGCAAAUGUGUAUCUAUCUACAGACGACUUCCCUGGUGGUCCAGUGGUUAAGAAUCUGCCCGCCGAUGCAGGCAAUGAGGCUUCAGUCUCUGCUCAGGGAAGAUUCCACGUGCAGCAAGGCAGCUAAGCACGCGCGCCACGACUGAAAGCUGUGAGCCUGGAGCCCACGCUGGGCAAAAAAAAGGCCAGCACCACGAGAAGCCCCCGCAACCGCAACUAGAGUAAGACCACACGCGGCAAGGAAGACCCAGCACGGCCAAGAAACAAAUUAAAAACAACAAAAAAACCCACGAAGAAAAUCACGUGUAUCUACAGUGUAUUUGUUGCUGUUCAGUUGCUCAGUCCUGUCUGACUCUACGACCCCAUGGACUGCAGCGCGCCAGGCCUCCCUGUCCAUUACCAACUCCCGAAGCUUGCUCAAACUCCUGUCCAUUGAGUUGGUGACGCCAUCCAACCAUCUCAUCCUCUGUCGUCCCCUUCUCCUGCCCUCAAUCUUUCCCAGCAUCAGGGUCUUUUCCAAUGACUCAGUUCUUCACAUCAGGUGGCCUAAGUACUGGAGCUUCAGCUUCAGCAUCAGUCCUUCCAGUGAAUAUUCAGGAUUGAAUUCUUUAGGAUGGACUGGUUGGAUCUCCUUGCAGUCCAAGGGACUCUCAAGAGUCUCCUCCAACACGACAGUUCAAAAGCAUAAAUUCUUUGAUAUCAGCUUUCCCUAUAGUCCAGCUCUCACAUCCAUACAUGACUACUGGAAAAACCAUAGCUUUGACUAUAGGGACAUUUUGUUGGCAAAGUAAUGUCUCUGCUUUUUAACAUGCUGUCUAGGUUGGUCAUAGCUUUUCUUCUGAGGAGCAAGUGUCUUUUAAUUUCAUGGCUGUAGUCACCAACUGCAGGGAUAUUGGAGCCUCCCAAAAUAAAAUCUGUCACUGUUUCCA